rnacentral:rRNA from 1 species
UCCAGAAAAAGAGAAAGAAUGGUAGAAGCCAAGGCAUCUAUAAUAGAGUUAGCAUCUGUGAACCGUGAAAUGAUUUCUCCUGUACGACGUGUCGCAAAGAAAGACAUGGGAAGUUCAAAAAUAUGGCGAAUAUAGGAUAAAAUCACAUCAAUGCUUAAUCUCUGGCUCAGAACGGUUAGGAGAUAAUCUCUGGAAAAGCUCAUGACUUGUUGGAGGAUAUAGGUGAUAACCAGACCAACUGAGAUGAUUCCUAAAGUUGAUUUCAUCUGAUUUGGGAUGUAUUCAUCCAAGAUUCCUUGGAGAUAGUAAGAACCACCUAUAUUGAUAAUAGUGACCAAUAAGCUUGAGAGAACAAUGUAAGCAAUGAGAGAUUUUUGUUUGAAAAUCAGAGGAAGGAAGCUUACUUAGUAGACCAUUCUUUUUAUCUUUAUGGGGUUGAUAGCUGGGUUUGGUAGCUAGAAAAAUAGCUACUCCAGUCCAUUCAUAGAAAAAGCGUUCUUUUGACAUUUUAGUGAUUUUUACAGAAGGGUCAGGAUCACCAAUAAUCAGAUAGUCUUUCUUUGUUUGAUAGACAACAUAGUAAUGUUGGAGUUUUCCUUCUUUGUUAACGUGAACGAUAAAUGGAUAGGGGACAUCACUCAUGUCAAAGAGCGUUUUAUCUGCUUGAACAGGUCUUGUUUCAAAGCCCAUUUCAUCAGCGGCUUUUACAAUGCCAAGAGCAGUCGUCCCUUCUUUAUUGGUCUUUGCAAGUUCUCUCAAGUGAGCUAGAGAAAAAUCUGAACCAUAGAAUUUAGCAAUCGAGGCUAAGGCAGCGACACCACAGUCUCUCGCAUCUAUUUGAGGAACAAAUGUACGUUUAUAAGAAGUCAUUGGCAAUUCUUUUCAUAUAGUGGAUAGGUCUAUUAUGUCAUAAAACUAAGUUCAUAUUUUAUGAAAUCUUGAAUAGUCAUUAAAACUUCCUGAAUGGUAAAAAAGUGAUUAGAAAUUAUUUUUUUUAAACAUUUAGAGGUGGCUUGAAAUAAAAAAGCUAAUUCAAGACGUUUCGAUGACAAUUCAAGAUCUGGAUGAAAAAUUUUAAAAAACGAUGAUAUACUAAACUUAUCAAAGUUACAACAAGACAAAAAUAAAAAAGGAGUAUUUGUCAUGAAUACAAAAAUGAUGGAACAAUUUUCUGUUAUGGAUAAUGAAAUGCUUGAUAGGAUAGAGGGAGGAAUAUUUGGAGUUGACGAUGCUUUGUUUUGGGCAGGGUUAGGCUAUGUUGCAGGUAGCAUUGUUGAUACAGCAAUUGAUGAUUUUACGAAUCAAUGCCGGAAAAAUCCUCAUCAGUGGUUCUGUGUUCGUGUAUAGAUAUAGUAGUGUUGUAUUGUAUAAGAAUUUAUAUAACUUAAUGACCUAUGCAGUGAUAGAAACUAUUCUUUUGCAAACGAGUCGCUUAUUCUGUUAUAAGUUUACGUGCUCCUAGUCACAGUUCUUGUGCUUGAUAGAAAGAAUGACACCUAUAAAAAUGCGAGAUAUUGGCUAUAUCACUCACUUAUUCACCUCCCCGUGAUUUGUAGUAGUGAUAGGUUUUCUCACUAUUAUUAUAAACAUUAUAAAAUAAAGAGUACAACACUUUUUCAUUCUGUGUUGUGCCUUGAGUAAAACGAAAGGAAUGAAUUAUAACAAUGGAAAAAAUUGAUUAUAUUACUUUGAAUGAAGUAGAAUUAGAGACGAUUAGUGGUGGAGAUGACUGUUUUAUUGGAGAUAUCGGAUGUAUCGGCUGGGGGCUUUUGAAGAGUAUCGGAGGGAUGAUAAAACCUGCUCCAUAUGUUCCUCCAGUAUGCAUUCCAAAAAGUUCGUGGAAUCCUGCACCUCCAGUUCCAUGUUAAAAAGUUAUUGUAAACUUAUAUAAAAAAUGAAUAAUCGACUUGUUCGCUAUUUUGUUGAAUCUUCGCAACUAUAAUAUACAGGUGUUGUUCAGGAUUAUUUUAGCUUAUUGCAAGAGUCGAAAACUAGAAACUAAUGGCUGGUUGGAACGUUAAAAAUUCACUUUCUAACCAGCUAAUACUGCUUCAAAUAAUUUCUGAACAAGUCUAAUAAAUAAAACGAAUAAGAUAGAUUAUUAACACAGUCUUGUUCGUUUUUUCUCAUAUAUUAUUUAAUUAAUAAUAUUAUAAAAUUGGAAAGCAGUAGGGAUGGGAAGUACUACCACAGAUUUAUUAUUAAUUUUAUCAGUAUUGUUUGAAAUCCAAAAAAAGUAUGUUAAGCUAUAUUUAUUUGGUUCUUUAGUUUGAUUGUUGUUGAGUAUAACUAUUUUUGUAUAGAUGAAAAUCUUGUUAUUGUUCAAGAUGUUUUGAUGACCAUUCAUGAUUUGAGUAAUCCAAGGUCAAAAUGAGUGCUAUACUAGCAGUGUAAAGAUUCUUGUUCAACUAAGAUAAAUCACACAUUUAGGAGGAAAUUUUAUGAAGAAAAAAAUACUUAUCAUUUUCAUCUUGUAUCUAAUCAUGUCCAUCUUUCUUUA